rnacentral:tRNA from 1 species
CGGUAUCCUUGACGGGAUGGAGCACGACGGACGUCUGGAGCAGAUCCAUCGCCGCUGGUUCGAUCCCGCCGGUGCCGG